rnacentral:rRNA from 1 species
UGGGGAAUUUUGGACAAUGGGCGCAAGCCUGAUCCAGCAAUGCCGCGUGCAGGAUGAAGGCCUUCGGGUUGUAAACUGCUUUUGUACGGAGCGAAAAGGUCUGCCCUAAUACGGUGGGCUCAUGACGGUACCGUAAGAAUAAGCACCGGCUAACUACGUGCCAGCAGCCGCGGUAAUACGUAGGGUGCGAGCGUUAACCGGAAUUACUGGGCGUAAAGCGUGCGUAGGCGGUUUUGUAAGUCAGAGGUGAAAGCCCCGGGCUCAACCUGGGAAUUGCCUUUGUGACUGCAAGGCUUGAGUGCAGCAGAGGGGGAUGGAAUUCCGCGUGUAGCAGUGAAAUGCGUAGAUAUGCGGAGGAACACCGAUGGCGAAGGCAAUCCCCUGGGCCUGAACUGACGCUCAUGCACGAAAGCGUGGGGAGCAAACA